UAUUUAUAUAUAUUUAUAAAAUGUACUGCACCAGGAUACAGCUGCAUCCUGGUGCAGUAAGCUAUGCCACAACUAGCUGACUGUUCAAAUAAUGGUUUGUAGCAGCCCUAUUCAGGGCCUGGAGCACCUGCUGUGACUGAUGGAACCAUGAGUUCUGCUCUCUAGCAGAACAUCCUGAAGGAAAACGUCUGACCUUAACUCAUUCACUGCCAAUGAUGACUAAAGUUUUACUGUGUGGGCGUCGGACGAGCCCCCGCACCGUGCAGUGCGUGAGAAACGCCCCGAUCCCUCACCUGUAUCCAUCUGCCAGACGUAGACGGAACCAUCAGAACAUCCCACCACCAGGUAGUCAUCUGCCGGUGCAGUUUUCUGGCGGGACGAUGAGCUGCGUGAUCUCUCCUCCAUGAACACAGAAGAUGUGCUUCAUCUCUCCGGUGAAAAUAUCCCAGACGAUGACGGAGAAGUCCACUCCUCCCGACACCAGCGAGCGCUGGUCGUAGCGGGGGGACACCUGGUACGGAUACAGGAUGCAGGUCACCUUGUUACGGUGACCUCGUAGGGUCCGGUGGGGGGGCCAACCUGCAUCAUGGACAGACGGACAAAAAAAACUCUGAUUCUUGCAUUUACACACCGUUUAUCUUCUGUUCAGACAAGAAACCAGAAUCAUCUCGUCAAAACACGAUGGAGUUAAGAGUCACGCUCAAACUCUUCAUGAGUCACUCAAGUUCUGGGUCUGCCCUGGAGGGUUUGUCCCAGUCAGGGCUGGAUUAUGACUGCAGAGGCCCCCUGGUGGUGGGUUAAAACGUUACAUCAUUUAUGUCUCCUCAAGUCGCUAAAACUACUUACUGAGCGCCGCAGGAAGUUAAAGGAAACAGGGUUUGAUUUUCAUCCUUAAACUGGUGUUGGGGCUCCCUAGUGGGCGUGGCCAGGCCUGUUCCCAUAAGGCCCUUUGGAUAUUCUGGCCUUGCUGCCAGUACCUGAGAAACCUCCAGGAGGCAUCCUGAUCAAACCCCCUUAAUCGAUCAAUCAAACUUUAUUUAUACAGCACUUAAUCCUACAACACAUGCAACUUAAAGUGCUUAACGAAUUUAAAAGGCCCCGCAUACCCUCCCAUCCCCAGAUUUUUAAAAACAGUCUGACAAUAAAAACUCCUUCACAACACACACACACACACACACACACACACCAUGGAAAAACACAAUGGGCUGAGUUCAGAUGAGCCAGACCAGCUAAGAUAAGGAAACACCAUCAGGGGAGCCAUCCGCCCCGACAGCAGCAGAUCCACAGCAGCAGCCGAGGCACCGACACAGGGCGCCCAGAGCAGGGAGGGCGGAGACCCCCACCUCCACCCACCCAGGCACACCUGGAAAGCACCCAGGCCGCUGCAGCCGACCACCGCCCCCUCAGCUGACUCUCUUUGAUGAGGAGGAGCAGUAGUGUCUCACCUCAUCUCUGGGGCUGAACACAAAGGUCACUCGGAUCCAGGCUCUUUAGACGGACCAGUAAACAGGGUCCAAAUUAUAGGGGAGAUGAGGGGAGCCCAGCUCCCCUGAAAGGGUGGUGGGCUCCCCUAGAUGCCCUCAACUUACACACCCAGGGGAAGCCCAAAAAAAUCCAGUUUCAACCUGUGAAAACACAACAAUCUUGAUUGGUUUGCAAUCAUGACCCUAUCAUGACCCGACCAGUGGAAGCCCGGUACAAAACGAGCUUCAUGGAGUUUUACUUUUCAGGUAUUUAAUAAUGUUUUUAUCGGAAAACGGAUACUAAAGACUAGGGAUGAGCCGGAUCCUCGUCUCAGACGAAUACGAGCAUGAAACGAGUAAAACUCGUAAAUAUCUGUAAUCGUGCUGAAGGAAAAUCCUCAUUGGGUAACUGACUGUCUUCAUGUUCUGUGAUUGGCCAGUCACACAGAGCGCCCGCCCCCUCCCUACACACAAAACUCCAAAGUCUCAGUCCAGCCCAUCCACCCACGCACACACACAGUAACGCCGGGGACACACCGGCCGCGAAGCGCCGAGAAGCGAAUCGCUCACGAAAUUCGGCCGCUGCUCGCCGCUCCUCAGUUCAGAUCAGACGCGCCCCAGUCGAGGCGCGCCUCGGCUCAGCUGUAGUUUUUCUUUUAAACACUUGAUGUCCUCCAUUUCCUCUCUGCCUUUUCUCAGCUCUUUUCCUCUACGUUUGAGUGUUUGUGCACGCGCGUACGUGUGUGUGAAAUAAUAUUAUAAAUAAAUAUUUUCCUUGAACGUGGACACACC
ensembl:lncRNA